UAAAAUUUAUUUUUGUUAUCGAAUUUAUUUAUUUUUAAUUAUGUAAUAUUAAAAGUUAUAUAUAAGUUUUUUUUAUUUAUUUUUUAUCUAAGCAAGCUGGAAUGCAAUCCAAAAUUUCGAAUAAUAUUUUCAGUUUGUUAAGAGCCCCCCGCGAUCUUGAUCUUAGCAGAGAAACGAGUUCGUUGCCAUUUCAUUAUUGCUAGCUAAAUCGUACCGACGCCUUCUCGUAAUCUUAUUUGCCGGUGCAUGGACGCUCCGUGGAUCCAUCUCUAGUGCACGAUUUCUUUACAGAUUCAUAACUAAUGGCUUCGUGGUUCAAAGUCGCCGAAGAUUUAUUUGAAGUUGUAGAUCGAAGAGCAAAGCUGGUUGCUAGUGAACUGUCAGAAGAGCAAUCAUUUUCUCAGCCACAAGGUUCUUCAGUAGAAAAGACAAAGACAAGGAAAAAGGCUCAGAAAAAACUUCCUACAACUAAAUCUCCCAAAACUAGUGAUGCUGUACGUGAAGAAACAAGUUCAGAAGUAUUACAAUCAGAGGUAACACUAUAUAAAGAUAAGGGUACUCUUUCUUCUAAAAAUGAGGGAAACCCUAGUGCUACAUCUAUGGUCCAAAUAAGUAGCGAGUUGUAUACCACCAGUGAGAAAGAUAAUCCUGGAUUUCCUUCACCUGAGCCAUUGGAUACCAAUGUGGUUAAACAUGAUACUGAUCAGGAAGAAGUCUCUGCAAUUGUUAGCAACACAGAAGCUUCUUUGUCAACUUCAAAUGGCAAGCUUCUCAAUGAGGAUGCCUCUAAUGUUCUUGUGGAGCACCCUUCUUCACCAUUAGCUGCCAAAGAUAUUCAGGUUGCUAGUGAAGAUCAUUUAGCUGAUGGUUGCCAAAAUAUUGAAUCCCAAAAUGCAGAUGUUAUUUCAAAGACCGACCAAGAGAGGUCACAACCUUUAUUUGCUGAUUCUCCUGUUAACAUUGAAGCUCAAUUAAAAGAAGAUGAUAUUAAAGUUGGAACUCCUGUGAAUCAGAAGAAGCCACGAGAACAAAAUGCUGACACUCCUCCAGUUCAGGACCACCUUGAGGAGGCUCAAGGAUUGCUUAAAACCACCAAUUCCACAGGUCAAUCGAAAGAGGCAAGACUGGCUCGGGUUUGUGCUGGACUUUCAUCUCGUCUUCAAGAAUACAAAUCUGAGAAUGCACAGCUUGAGGAGCUUCUAAUUGCUGAGAGAGAGCUGAGUAAAUCUUAUGAGGCUCACAUAAAACAACUACAGAAAGAUUUAUCUUUAUCUAAGAGUGAAGUAACAAAGGUAGAGGCAAAUAUGGUUGAGGCUUUGGCAGCUAAGAACUCUGAGAUUGAGGUGCUUGUCAACUCUAUGGAUGCGCUUAAGAAACAAGCUGCUUUAUCUGAAGGGAAUCUAGCAUCACUUCAGGCAAGCAUGGAGUCUGUUAUGAGAAACAGGGAAUUGACAGAGACAAGGAUGCUGCAGGCCCUACGUGAGGAGCUGGCUUCUGCAGAAAGGAGAGCAGAAGAAGAACGCGCAGCACAUAAUGCUACUAAAAUGGCUGCAAUGGAAAGGGAGGUGGAAUUGGAACAUCAAGCGGUUGAGGCAUCCACGGCUCUAGCUAGGAUCCAGAGGGUUGCAGAUGAGAGGACAACAAAAGCUGCAGAGUUUGAGCAGAAGCUAGCACUUCUUGAGGUUGAAUGUGCAUCUCUAAAUCAAGAAUUGCAAAAUUUGGAAGCUCGAGCUCGUCGUGGACAAAAGAAGUCCCCAGAAGAGGCAAAUCAAAUGGUUCAGAUGCAGGCAUGGCAGGAGGAAGUAGAGCGUGCACGCAGAGGUCAAAGAGACGCUGAGAGCAAGCUCUCUUUGUUAGAGGCUGAACUGCAGAAAAUGAGGGUUGAAAUGGCUGCCAUGAAGAGGGAUGCUGAGCAUUAUUCUCGACAGGAGCAUAUGGAGCUAGAGAAACGCUACCGUGAAUUAACUGACCUUUUGUACAACAAGCAAACGCAGUUAGAAACUAUGGCUAGUGAAAAAGCUGCAGCCCAGUUCCAGUUGGAGAAGGAAAUAAAGCGUCUUCAGGAAGCACAGGUUGAAGUAGAAAGAAGUAGAGUUCCUCGUCGGGCAUCAAUGUCCUGGGAGGAAGACACUGAAAUCAAAGCACUUGAGCCUCUUCCCUUGCAUCACCGUCACAUGGCUGUUGCAAGCAUACAGUUACAGAAGGUUGUGAAAUUACUGGAUUCAGUAUCUGUUAGGGCCACAAGAUUUCUUUGGCGAUAUCCAGCAGCUCGAAUAAUCUUGCUAUGCUAUCUUGUAUUUGUACAUCUCUUCUUGAUGUACUUGUUACAUCGUCUUCAGGAACAAGCGGACAAUUUUGCUGCUAGGGAACUCGCGGAAUCUAUGGGUCUUAAAAACUCCAACUUACCCUAAUUGGGGAAUAAAAUGCACCUUAGCUCCGACCAAGGGUUCUCCAACUAUGUGGUUUACCAUCUGCAAGGUUUGCUUAUUCUUAUUUUCUUUUGCAGGCAUACAUGGAAUGAUCCAAGAACACUUCGAGAAUUAGGAAACUAUAGAAGAUGCACACACAUCUAAAAUCAGUCACUGGCAUUUUUAUAUUGAGAACUACAACUAGCAAAUUUAGAUUUUGGUGUAUUUCUGAAAUCCAGAUGCAUCAAGCGGCCGCUAACUGCUAGCUGUUGAUUUUCUGUCGACAUACUACCAAUUUUACAUAAAUUGGAAGUUCGUUUUGGAAAUGGGGGUGGGAAAAUCAGAAAUGAGAAGCCAGCAAGCAUGUUGUAGAUCCAAAAUGAUACCUCCUGCUCUUCAAAAGACAUGAAGCAAAUUUUGCCGAAGCCCUCAUCAUUGGAAGAGUUGCUAUCACUCCAAGUAGCUACCAUGGCUUUCUUUUUUCUCUUGCUUCUUCUUCAAAGGACAAUCAUACUUGUUGUGCCCCGACUUUUUGCAAAUGUAGCAAACUAUUUUCUUUCUUGAAGUCUCUUGCCUUUGU